rnacentral:tRNA from 1 species
GGAAGGGUCGCAUAGUUGGUCUAGUGCGCAUCUUUGGAGAAGAUGUAUCGCCGCAAGGUGAUCGCGGGUUCGAAUCCCGCCCCUUCCG